rnacentral:rRNA from 1 species
AUAUCAAUAAGCGGAGGAAAAGAAACCAACAGGGAUUGCCCUAGUAACGGCGAGUGAAGCGGCAACAGCUCAAAUUUGAAAUCUGGCCUCUGGUCCGAGUUGUAAUUUGCAGAGGAUGCUUCGGGCGCGGUGCCUUCCAAGUCCCCUGGAACGGGGCGCCGGAGAGGGUGAGAGCCCCGUACGGUUGGCGGCCAAGCCUGUGUGAAGCUCCUUCGACGAGUCGAGUAGUUUGGGAAUGCUGCUCUAAGCGGGAGGUAGACCCCUUCUAAAGCUAAAUAUAGGCCAGAGACCGAUAGCGCACAAGUAGAGUGAUCGAAAGAUGAAAAGCNCUUUGAAAAGAGGGUUAAACAGCACGUGAAAUUGUUGAAAGGGAAGCGCUUGUAACCAGACGUGCGCCGGGGUGUUCAGCGGGCGUUCUCGCCUGUGCACUCGCCUCGGCGCAGGCCAGCGUCGGUUUGGGCGGAGGGAUAAAGGCGCCUGGAAUGUGGCUCCCUCGGGAGUGUUAUAGCCAGGCGUGCCAUGCCUCCACCCGGACCGAGGUACGCGUUCUGCAAGGACGCUGGCGUAAUGGUUCCCAGCGACCCGUCUUGAAACACGGACCAAGGAGUCGAGGUUUUGCGCGAGUGUUUGGGUGGAAAACCCGCACGCGUAAUGAAAGUGAACGUAGGUGAGAGCUUCGGCGCAUCACCGACCGAUCCUGAUGUUUUCGGAUGGAUUUGAGUAAGAGCGUAGGGCCUCGGACCCGAAAGAUGGUGAACUAUGCUUGGAUAGGGUGAAGCCAGAGGAAACUCUGGUGGAGGCUCGCAGCGGUUCUGACGUGCAAAUCGAUCGUCAAAUCUGAGCAUGGGGGCGAAAGACUAAUCGAACCAUCUAGUAGCUGGUUACCGCCGAAGUUUCCCUCAGGAUAGCAGUGUUGUUCUUCAGUUUUAUGAGGUAAAGCGAAUGAUUAGGGACUCGGGGGCGCUAUUUAGCCUUCAUCCAUUCUCAAACUUUAAAUAUGUAAGAAGCCCUUGUUGCUUAAUUGAACGU